rnacentral:lncRNA from 10 species
CUGUAAUCAGGCCAGCGGCGGCGGAGUGAUGUCAUUGUUUGUGGGAAUCUGUAGGCUCUGGGAAGGGAAUUACGGCUCCAGGCAGGUCCGGAGCGAAGCGGCUGGGAAGCCCAGCAGGAGACCCGGCUCGCCCCACCCGCGAUGGUGACUGGAGGAGGCUCCUCUAGGAGUCCUGGCUGCACCUCCAAGAUCUGCCUUCAGGAGAGACGCGGCCGGGGUGGACACGGCGGGAGGUGCAUUCUCAGACCUGGGGACGUUCCACUGCACAAGGACAGCGAGGGUGCUAGUUGGGGAACGCAUAGCCACCGAUCCCAGGCGCCGGGCCAAGUCGCCCGCUGAACGUCUUCUACUGGAGGCGAAUUCGGGCGCAGCGACGGGGGGCAGGGGCAACUAAGUUAUCCGGUUAAGAAACGUGCACUCGCACUGGACUCUGCUAACUGCUGACGACGGACUCCGCUUCUUGCCUGAGAGGGAGGAAGCACGAACGUUCUGUAUGUAACGAAAUGAGGACGACUGUUUCAAAGCUACUCAAAUAUUGUUGUGUUAAAGAGUAUUUACACUGAUCUCAUUGUAUCAUUUAGCUUCAAAGCUCAAAAUUCUGCUUUACUUAGAUAAGAGCUUGAAGUCCAAAUCUACACAAGUCAGAACCUAUGCAAGAAAAGCACCAUCGGUAGAAAUGAAUACACUUUGAAUGCCAUGGACCACCCUGUCUUCAGAGCAUGUCUGUUUGCUGACAUAGUUGGCUCCCUCAUAGCCCUUUAAAAAAUUGUCACGUAAAAAUGUGGGCGUUGCUGAAGGUUUUUAUUAAAACAUUAGAAGUCUAUGUGACAUUAUUUAUUAUUGUUAUUUGAAUUCCUCUAAGAAAAUUAAGCUAUCUGUUAGGACUUAGGGCCAUGGUGGAGGCAAGGUUUCUGGAAAAGUAUUAACACGGUGAAAGUAUUAAUAAAGGGAAACAGAUCAACUCUGGGCCCCUCAGCUCACUACUGCUCAGAGGCUCAUUUCUGCCUUUGUUCCCCCUUUCUAUUACUCUAUUGUUUAACAGCUUACCCCCUCAUAGUCCAUCCGUUUGAUUAUAACACAAGGUUUUCAUGUUUCACCGUGUUAGUCAGUAUGGUCUCUAUCUCCUGACCUUGUGAUCCACCCGCCUUGGCCUCCCAAAGUGCUGGGAUUACAGGCGUGAGCCACUGCGCCUGGCCACUUCAUUUCUUAAAUAGUUUCCAAAUAUGAAAUGCUGGUAAAUGUUGAAUCUCAUAUAGCUACAUUUUAAAUAACUAAAACUGUGUAAAAUUGGCCAGAAAUGAUAUAAAACCUGAAUGACUAAUUAAAAUAAGUCCUCUUUAGUGGUUUACAUAAAAUACAGCUCAUCAUAAUAUUGUCAGGACAGAAUAGCAAAUGGAAAGAUAAUUUUUUUGGUUAUUCAAAUACUAAAUUUUCAAUACACAACAAUGUAGUAAGCAAGUGGAAGAGGAAAUGUAUUUAUCCCUUGGAUAUCUAUUGAUACAUUGUUAUUUGAAAUGCUAAUACACACCCAUGUGUGCACACAAAUUGCUCUUUUAGACAACUAUUUC